rnacentral:rRNA from 1 species
AGUGAACGCUGGCGGUAUGCCUAACACAUGCAGGUCGAACGGCAGCACAGUAAGAUCUUUCUCUUACUGGUGGCGAGUGGCGGACGGGUGAGGAAUACAUCGGCAUCUACUUUUUCUUGGGUGAUAACGUAGGGCAACUUCUGCUAAUACCUCAUACGACCUACGGGUUAAAUCAGGAGAUCUUCGCACCUUUCGCGUUUCAAUUAGCCGAUGUCGCAUUAGCUAGUUGGCUGGGUAAGGGCCCACCAAGGCAACGAUCCGUAGCUGGUCUGAGAGGAUGAUCGGCCACACUGGAACUGAGACACGGUCCAGACUCCUACGGGAGGCAGCAGUGGGGAAUAUUGGACAAUGGGCGCAAGCCUGAUCGAGCAAUACCGCGUGAGUGAAGAAGGCCUUCGGGUUGUAAAGCCCUUUUGUUAGGAAAGAAAAAAAGCAGGUGAAAACACGGAUGUUCUGACGGUACCCAAAGAAUAAGCAACGGCUAACUACGUG